ensembl:ncRNA F46H6.8 ncRNA
UCACAAGCGAGGGAAACUGUCAGAAAAGCAUCGUACGAUCAAAUGCGGUUGCUGGGAAAAAGUUGUAAGGAGAGGCAUGCGCAGAGAAUCAGAGUGUCGUAGUGGUGGCCGCAAACAUACACACAUACACAGGACACGAUAAACCGGAUGGAUCGAAAAAGA